rnacentral:pre_miRNA from 1 species
GAUGCAGGUAUUUGUUAAUUUUUAGACGUUAUGUUUGACCAUCCGUCUUAUUCAAAAAUUUUGUAAAUAUAUUAUUUAUUUUGUUAUGAUUUAUUUUAUUAUAUUUCAAGUAUGACUUAUUUGUUUUUAUAUUUCUAUAAAUUUUUUAAAUAAGACGGAUGGUUAAACGUGAUGUACGGAAACAGAUAAAUGCUUAUAUU